rnacentral:miRNA from 1 species
UUGGGUGAGGGUCUGCCUAGAGC